CUCUAGUUAGGGAGUUAACGCCGGGAUGGAUAGGUCCCGCACCACGACAUUAAACCCUCGAUAUAGACUAUAGACAUUCAUCGAGGCGGUGUUCUGAACAUUGAGUGGACGUCGUUGGCGUCCGCGGCGUUUCUCGGCUUCGGUGUGGACGUUUUGCCUCAGCUUGUGACGGUUUUUUUUGGAGACAUGCUGUUAGGUUCAUGCUUGCUUUAUGUCUGGGGCUCAUGUAGGAGAAAAGCUUGCACUUCAUGAUAUUGUAAGCCAACAGUUGAGCUAAGAAUCCCCCCCCCCCCCCCCACACACACACACACACACACAUCUCUAUUUGUGUGUGUAUGUGUGUAUGCGCACAUGUCUUUUUAAUGUGAAUGUGGUUUUCUUUCUCUAUGUGUUAGCCCUGUAACAGACUGGUGACCUGUCCAGGGUCUGGGAUAUGUUGAACUGUUAAGCACUGUGGCACCUUCUGGUAGGCUACUUUCUGGCAACCUGAGUCACCUGGUUGAACUGCAUUCCAUCAUCUCUGACACCCACUCAGAGAUGAUGAAUGCUUCCGUGUAUCUAUUAAAAUUUUCCAUUAGUACACGUGUCAUUCUCACAACUGCUCCUAACCCAACUGCCCAAUUCUCUGGGUUAAUUUAAAUACCUAAAGAGCAGAAGAAAUGUUAGACUCAAAAUCAGUCAGAGCUGAAGAGCCUGUUUUAUUCAGGAAUCUGUAGUCAAGCUCGAGAGUCUCAGUUCAGCACUGUAACACAGCAGGCGUUUGCACUUCUUUUGUAUAAUACCUUAUAAGUAAAUGGUAAAUGGCCUGUAUUUGUAUAGCGCUUUACUAGUCACUAAGGACCCCAAAGCGCUUUACAUAUCCAGUCAUCCACCCAUUCACACACACAUUCACACACUGGUGAUGGCAGCUACAUUGUAGCCACAGCCACCCUGGGGCGCACUGACAGAGGCGAGGCUGCCGGACACUGGCACCACCGGGCCCUCUGACCACCACCAGUAGACAACGGGUGAAGUGUCUUGCCCAAGGACACAACGACCGAGACUGUCCAAGCCGGGGCUCGAACCGGCAACCUUCCAAUUACAAGGCGAACUCCCAACUCUUGAGCCACGAUCGCGCCCACAAGUGUCAUACUUGAAACGGAUCAGAAGUUUCUGGCACCACUUCAGCUCCUUCCACGGAGAAGAGCAUAAGAUGACGGUGAUGAUGAUCCUGAUGAAGGCCACAAACCUAAAUGUGUCACUCAAGCAGUAAAGUUUCUAAAUCAUUCAAAUGUUUCUCGAGCUCUAACUUUCUACUUCCCUAUUGCUUCAGGACUCUGUGUGUUGAUUUCAAUGACAGCUUAUUUAUUAAUAAGUAAUUAUUAAUAUUAUUGUUGAAAAAAACUCCAAAUUGAACAAGUUUCUGUUUGCUUAUUGUUUCAGGACUGUGUGUUGAUCUUACUGACAGCUUAUUUAUUAAUUAUUUAUUAAUAAGUAAUUAUUAAUAUUAUUGCUAAACAACUCCAAAUUUAAGAAAGAGGUAAGUUUAGUUUUACAGAAGAGAUGGUCUCACCUCUCUGUCAGGUGAAUAUCUACAAAUAUAUCUACAAAUAUAUCUAUAUCUACAAAACAAAUUACAUAUGUAUCUGAAGAUGACAAUCAGCAAUGCAGCCCGAUUUAAAAAGAUCAAUAUGAAAAUAAAAGAAUGAAUCUGAACUUUUAAUGUGACUCUUUCCUUACUUGUUUAAAAUGUCUGAAUGAUCAGUCAUUAUUGCUUUUUGUGAAACCUCAACACAGAAAAAGAAUAAAAACUAAAU
ensembl:lncRNA